rnacentral:ncRNA from 1 species
GCACGAUGCCCCAGCUCCAUGCACCUGAAAGGGGGAUAACUGGCUAGUGGCCGUCAAGCGUUCAUAGCAUUUGAUCCGUCGAUGUCGGCUCUUCCUAUCGUUGUAAAGCAAAAUUCACUAAGCGUAGGAUUGUUCAGUCUUUAAAGGGAACGUGAGCUGGGUUUAGACCGUCAUGAGACAGCUAAGUUUUACC